rnacentral:tRNA from 1 species
AGUCUUAUAUUCAAUUAUGAUAUAAAAUUGCAAAUUUUAAGGAGGAUAAUUAUUAUUCUAAGGCUU